rnacentral:SRP_RNA from 1 species
GCUGGGCAUGGUGGCGGGUGCCUGUAAUCCCAGCUACUCGGGAGGCUGAGAUAGGAGAAUCACUUGAACCCAGGAGGCUGAGGCUGCAGUGAGCCGAGAUCGCGCCACUGCACUCCAGCCUGGACGACAAAGGGAGACUCCAUCUCAA